rnacentral:rRNA from 1 species
UACGUAGGGGGCAAGCGUUAUCCGGAUUUACUGGGUGUAAAGGGAGCGUAGACGGCAGCGCAAGUCUGAAGUGAAAGCCCGUGGCUCAACCGCGGAACUGCUUUGGAAACUGUGCGGCUGGAGUGCUGGAGAGGUAAGCGGAAUUCCUGGUGUAGCGGUGAAAUGCGUAGAGAUCAGGAGGAACACCGGUGGCGAAGGCGGCUUACUGGACAGUAACUGACGUUGAGGCUCGAAAGCGUGGGGAGCAAACAGG